CGCCUUGCCAGCCCGCUCAGAAACUCAAAGGAAUUGAGGGGCCCGCACAAGCGGAGGAACAUGUGGUUUAAUUCGAUGAUACGCGAGGAACCUUACCUGGGCUAGAACGCAAUCGGAAUCAGGCCGAAAGGUCUGCGCCAGCGAUGGCCGCUUGCGAGGUGCUGCAUGGUUGUCGUCAGCUCGUGCCGUGAGGUGUCGGGUUAAGUCCCAUAACGAGCGCAGCCCCUACUGCUAGUUGCCAGCGGGUCAUGCCGGGGACUCUAGCGGAACUGCCAGCGUAAGCUGCGAGGAAGGUGGGGAUGACGUCAAAUCAGCACGGCCCUUACGUCCAGGGCUACACACGUGUUACAAUGGCCAGUACAGAGGGCAGCCACCCCGCGAGGGGGCGCUAAUCCUAAAAGCUGGUCCCAGUUCGGAUCGGAGUCUGCAACCCGACUCCGUGAAGCUGGAUUCGCUAGUAAUCGCGCAUCAGCCACGGCGCGGUGAAUACGUUCCCGGGCCUU
rnacentral:rRNA from 1 species